rnacentral:lncRNA from 1 species
CAGAGGAAGGCAGUGGGAAAAAUACACACAUCGCUCGAGGAUAACCUUCUGAAUUUUUCCCUACCCAGGGCCACACAGGAACAACUCACAGCAAACUACAGGGACACUCAUGACAUGUCUGUGCCCAGGGAAGUCCACCAAGUCUCCAGGUCUGAGGCAUUUAUGAGACAAAACUCAAGUCUCAAAUGAAAGGAUCCCUGAAGACUUCCUUAUGGAUUUUGUCUCUGGGAACACGGCUCAGCAGCAUGGACACAGAAACAGCAGUGGUGGCUGAUUGCAUUGAUCCAGAUUUGGAAGUUGUGUGGCAGUUAAAGCAGAAGGAUAAGGUACCUCUUCUUUUGUGGUGUUGGAGAAGACUCUUGAGAGUCCCUUGGACUGCAAGAAGAUCAAAUCAGUCAAUCCUAAAGGAAAUCAACCCUGAAAAUUCAUUGGAAGGACUGAUGCUGAAGCUGAAGCUCAAGCUUCAAUACUUUGGCCACCUGAUGUGAAGAGCCAACUCACUGGAAAAGACCCUGAUGCUGGGAAAGAUUGAAGGCAGGAGGAGAAGGGGACGACAGAAGACGAAAUGGUUGGAUGGCAACACCGACUCAAUAGGCAUGAACUUGGACAAACUCCGGGAGAUAGUGGAGGAUAGAGGAGCCUGGCGUGCUGGGAUCCAUGAGGUCUCAAAGAAUCAGACAUGACUUAGCGAUUGAACAACAACAAUCUCUUCUUCCACCACUUCCUCAACCUCACCCUGAGUGAUCUCCUCCACUCUUUUUUCA